CAACUUGAGAGUUUGAUCCUGGCUCAGAACGAACGCUGGCGGCAGGCCUAAUACAUGCAAGUCGAGCGCACCUUCGGGUGAGCGGCGGACGGGUUAGUAACGCGUGGGAAUAUGCCCAAAGGUACGGAAUAGCCUCUGGAAACGGAGAGUAAUACCGUAUGUGCCCUUCGGGGGAAAGAUUUAUCGCCUUUGGAUUAGCCCGCGUUGGAUUAGGUAGUUGGUGGGGUAAUGGCCUACCAAGCCUACGAUCCAUAGCUGGUUUGAGAGGAUGAUCAGCAACACUGGGACUGAGACACGGCCCAGACUCCUACGGGAGGCAGCAGUAGGGAAUCU
rnacentral:rRNA from 1 species